UACGUAGGUGGCAAGCGUUGUCCGGAUUUACUGGGCGUAAAGGAUGCGUAGGUGGAAACUUAAGUGGGAUGUGAAAUCCCCGGGCUCAACCCGGGAACUGCAUUCCAAACUGGGUUACUUGAGUGCAGGAGAGGAAAGCGGAAUUCCUAGUGUAGCGGUGAAAUGCGUAGAUAUUAGGAGGAACACCAGUGGCGAAGGCGGCUUUCUGGACUGUAACUGACACUGAGGCAUGAAAGCGUGGGGAGCAAACAGG
rnacentral:misc_RNA from 1 species